UCGUCACACUAUCAUUAACUGAAUCCAUAGGUUAAUGAGGCGAACCGGGGGAACUGAAACAUCUAAGUACCCCGAGGAAAAGAAAUCAACCGAGAUUCCCCCAGUAGCGGCGAGCGAACGGGGAGGAGCCCAGAGCCUGAAUCAGCAUGUGUGUUAGUGGAAGCGUCUGGAAAGGCGCGCGAUACAGGGUGACAGCCCCGUACACAAAAGCGCAUGUGCUGUGAGCUCGAUGAGUAGGGCGGGACACGUGGUAUCCUGUCUGAAUAUGGGGGGACCAUCCUCCAAGGCUAAAUACUCCUGACUGACCGAUAGUGAACCAGUACCGUGAGGGAAAGGCGAAAAGAACCCCGGCGAGGGGAGUGAAAAAGAACCUGAAACCGUGUACGUACAAGCAGUGGGAGCCCCACCACUAAGCCAGUGGUGAACUCCACAUACGCAUCCUUUGCUGAGGAUACGGUUAACGGAGCGAAAGCGACGUUCAACCGCAAAAGAAGCAGAGGGGGCUUAGUGGUGGGGUGACUGCGUACCUUUUGUAUAAUGGGUCAGCGACUUAUAUUCUGUAGCAAGGUUAACCGUAUAGGGGAGCCGGAGGGAAACCGAGUCUUAAUUGGGCGUUAAGUUGCAGGGUAUAGACCCGAAACCCGGUGAUCUAGCCAUGGGCAGGUUGAAGGUUGGGUAACACUAACUGGAGGACCGAACCGACUAAUGUUGAAAAAUUAGCGGAUGACCUGUGGCUGGGGGUGAAAGGCCAAUCAAACCGGGAGAUAGCUGGUUCUCCCCGAAAGCUAUUUAGGUAGCGCCUCGUGAAUUCAUCUCCGGGGGUAGAGCACUGUUUCGGCUAGGGGGCCAUCCCGGCUUACCAACCCGAUGCAAACUGCGAAUACCGGAGAAUGUUAUCACGGGAGACACACGGCGGGUGCUAACGUCCGUCGUGAAGAGGGAAACAACCCAGACCGCCAGCUAAGGUCCCAAAGUCAUGGUUAAGUGGGAAACGAUGUGGGAAGGCCCAGACAGCCAGGAUGUUGGCUUAGAAGCAGCCAUCAUUUAAAGAAAGCGUAAUAGCUCACUGGUCGAGUCGGCCUGCGCGGAAGAUGUAACGGGGCUAAACCAUGCACCGAAGCUGCGGCAGCGACGCUUAUGCGUUGUUGGGUAGGGGAGCGUUCUGUAAGCCUGUGAAGGUGGCCUGUGAGGGUUGCUGGAGGUAUCAGAAGUGCGAAUGCUGACAUAAGUAACGAUAAAGCGGGUGAAAAGCCCGCUCGCCGGAAGACCAAGGGUUCCUGUCCAACGUUAAUCGGGGCAGGGUGAGUCGACCCCUAAGGCGAGGCCGAAAGGCGUAGUCGAUGGGAAACGGGUUAAUAUUCCCGUACUUGGUGUUACUGCGAAGGGGGGACGGAGAAGGCUAUGUUGGCCGGGCGACGGUUGUCCCGGUUUAAGCGUGUAGGUGUGUGUUCCAGGUAAAUCCGGUUCACUUUAACACUGAGGCGUGAUGACGAGGCACUACGGUGCUGAAGCAACAAAUGCCCUGCUUCCAGGAAAAGCCUCUAAGCAUCAGGUAACAUCAAAUCGUACCCCAAACCGACACAGGUGGUCAGGUAGAGAAUACCAAGGCGCUUGAGAGAACUCGGGUGAAGGAACUAGGCAAAAUGGUGCCGUAACUUCGGGAGAAGGCACGCUGACACGUAGGUGAAGUGAUUUACUCACGGAGCUGAAGUCAGUCGAAGAUACCAGCUGGCUGCAACUGUUUAUUAAAAACACAGCACUGUGCAAACACGAAAGUGGACGUAUACGGUGUGACGCCUGCCCGGUGCCGGAAGGUUAAUUGAUGGGGUCAGCGCAAGCGAAGCUCCUGAUCGAAGCCCCGGUAAACGGCGGCCGUAACUAUAACGGUCCUAAGGUAGCGAAAUUCCUUGUCGGGUAAGUUCCGACCUGCACGAAUGGCGUAAUGAUGGCCAGGCUGUCUCCACCCGAGACUCAGUGAAAUUGAACUCGCUGUGAAGAUGCAGUGUACCCGCGGCAAGACGGAAAGACCCCGUGAACCUUUACUAUAGCUUGACACUGAACAUUGAGCCUUGAUGUGUAGGAUAGGUGGGAGGCUUUGAAGUGUGGACGCCAGUCUGCAUGGAGCCGGCCUUGAAAUACCACCCUUUAAUGUUUGAUGUUCUAACGUGGACCCGUAAUCCGGGUUGCGGACAGUGUCUGGUGGGUAGUUUGACUGGGGCGGUCUCCUCCUAAAGAGUAACGGAGGAGCACGAAGGUUGGCUAAUCCUGGUCGGACAUCAGGAGGUUAGUGCAAUGGCAUAAGCCAGCUUGACUGCGAGCGUGACGGCGCGAGCAGGUGCGAAAGCAGGUCAUAGUGAUCCGGUGGUUCUGAAUGGAAGGGCCAUCGCUCAACGGAUAAAAGGUACUCCGGGGAUAACAGGCUGAUACCGCCCAAGAGUUCAUAUCGACGGCGGUGUUUGGCACCUCGAUGUCGGCUCAUCACAUCCUGGGGCUGAAGUAGGUCCCAAGGGUAUGGCUGUUCGCCAUUUAAAGUGGUACGCGAGCUGGGUUUAGAACGUCGUGAGACAGUUCGGUCCCUAUCUGCCGUGGGCGCUGGAGAACUGAGGGGGGCUGCUCCUAGUACGAGAGGACCGGAGUGGACGCAUCACUGGUGUUCGGGUUGUCAUGCCAAUGGCACUGCCCGGUAGCUAAAUGCGGAAGAGAUAAGUGCUGAAAGCAUCUAAGCACGAAACUUGCCCCGAGAUGAGUUCUCCCUGAGACUUAGAGUCUCCUGAAGGAACGUUGAAG
rnacentral:rRNA from 1 species